rnacentral:rRNA from 1 species
CCUACGGGGGGCAGCAGUAGGGAAUAUUGCUCAAUGGGGGAAACCCUGAAGCACCAACGCCGCGUGGAGGAUGAAGGUUUUCGGAUUGUAAACUCCUUUUGUUAGAGAAGAUAAUGACGGUAUCUAACGAAUAAGCACCGGCUAACUCCGUGCCAGCAGCCGCGGUAAUACGGAGGGUGCAAGCGUUACUCGGAAUCACUGGGCGUAAAGAGCGCGUACGCGGGAUAGCAAGUCAGAUGUGAAAUCCUAUGGCUUAACCAUAGAACUGCAUUUGAAACUGUUAUUCUAGAGUAUGGGAGAGGUAGGUGGAAUUCUUGGUGUAGGGGUAAAAUGCGUAGAGAUCAAGAGGAAUACUCAUUGCGAAGGCGACCUGCUAGAACAUAACUGACGCUGAGGCGCGAAAGCGUGGGGAGCAAACAGGAUUAGAUACCCCUGUAGUC